rnacentral:lncRNA from 10 species
AUAACAUAAACAAUGAGAGAAUUUUGGCUUAUUUUCUCCAAGCAUUUUUUAAUGUACAUAUUUGCUUCCUACAUAGUAUGACACAUUGAACAUAUGGCUUUAGCACUAUUCUCAUUUGACUUGAAAAUGUCUUUAGAGCAAUCAUUUUUGUUGAUAGUAUAUCAAGUGGAUGUGCUGUUACUGACUUAACUAUUCCCUUACUUUCAUGUAUUUACAUUGUCACGAUUUGUUUUUUGUUUUGUUUUGUUUUGUUUUUGUAAUUACAAAUAAUGCUUCAAGGAACAAAUUUGUUCAUAACAGUGUUUCUAAUAUUUCAGGCCACUUUACAGAAGUAGGAUUAUGGGGUCAGAAUAUGUCCAUUCUCAUAGCACUCAACACAUACUGCCAAAUUGCUUUGUGAAAGAGCUUUAACAAUUUAUGUUGCAACCAGCAAGAGAUGCUAGUUUUACGGCUUUGACAUUAUACAUUUUUUAGUGCAAGAUUAAAUAUAUGAAGAUGUGUCAGAAGUAGGCCAGGACUAGCAGAAGCACAACCUCAAUUUUAACUCUUGUUGUGUCACUUACUAGCUGUGAUGCCUUGAGAUUGCCCCUUACUCUUUCUUCCUCAUUUUAUGGGUCUACUCCACACAUUUACCAAACACCUAUUAUGUUCCAGGCACUAUUCUCCAUGCUGGGAAUAUGUAUUGCUAUAGGUCAGGACUCUUGAGAAGGAGGCUCUGAGAUGGAGAUUAGUGUGCAAGAGACUGAUUAGGGACUGUUCUUGGCAUCGACACUUGUGGAAGGGAGGUGACAGAUGCAGGCUUGAACAGAGAGGGGAGCUGGGCUGCAAUGAAGUUUCAGUGAAGCCACAGCCAACCCCACGUGAGCUCUGAAGAUGGGAUAUGCCUUCAAAGGUGUCUGAGGUAGGUGAUGGGGGCUGGGCCUUUAUAUUCUUACUUUGCUCCAUGACUGCAUGUAGGGGCUGCCUAGGGAAGGGGGCAUGGCCUUGGGUGAGGCAACUCUCUUCAGCCCCAUCACUUCACGAGGAGGACUACUAUCAGAGGGCUGCUGGGGCAACGCUCCCCCAACAACGAGGAAACAAUCAUUCCUGAAGGGAAAUCUGGGUGGUGCACGGCAAUAACACUGCAAGUGAUGAGCAAAGCAGACAAUGGUCCUGGCCCCAUGGAACUUAGAGCUAGAAGGAGAGCCAGGCACUGAUAUUACAGACACAAACACCCCCCCACACACAGGAAGACAAACUGAAAAGCACUGUGAAAGGAAGUUCAGGGUCCCAUGAGAGUGGGCAACAAGGGGACUUGAUCUAAUUUGGGGGUGUCAGGGAAGAUGUUCUUGAGGAAGUGAUAAUGAGCUGAGAUAUGGAGGGUAUAAAGGGGGUUACCAGGUCAAUGGAGAGAGGGUGAAGAGUACACCUGGCAGAGGAAAGAACACUGUGCAAAGAGCUGAGGCUGGAGGGAGCACAGUGUUCAAAGAAAAGAAAAGCAGAGGCCAGGCGUGGUGGUCUGAUGGCACAUCUCACGUGGUCUCAGGCUGUCUUGCAUCAAGGAGAAUGUGUCUCUACACAGCACACUUGGUAUUUAGGGCAGUGGCAAAACAUACACAAGGUUAUUAAGUAAUUAAACAUAUUAAAGUCAAGGAUGGGCCCAACGCUUUGAAUGUUUAAAGCCUUUAAAGGUAGGGAUAAACCCAGUGCUGACAUGUGCCAGGACUGAGCCAGGCUGAGUCAUGAGUGAGUCCAGAAGUGUUCUCUCCCACCACUGACAUCUACUCAGCCCCUUUCCACCCAACGCACCUC